rnacentral:rRNA from 1 species
AGCUCCAAUAGCGUAUACUAAAGUUGCUGCAGUUAAAAAGCUCGUAGUUGGAUUUCUGACUUGGUGCGCCUGGCCCCGUUAGCCUUUUUUGGCGCGUGCGUGCCGGCUGUGCGCCUGUCAUCCUGUCGGAGAGCGCCACUGGCCUUUACUGGCUGGAGGCGCGAUCUGGCUCGUUUACUUUGAAAAAAUUAGAGUGUUUAAAGCAGGCUUAUGCCGUGAAUACAUUAGCAUGGAAUAAUAAGAUAGGACUUUGGUCUUAUUUUGUUGGUUUCUAGGACUAAAUUAAUGAUUGAUAGGGAUAGUUGGGGGUGCUAGUAUUCAACGGCCAGAGGUGAAAUUCUUGGAUUCGUUGAAGACUAACUUAUGCGAAAGCAUUCACCAAGGAUGUCUUCUUUAAUCA